GACGAACGCUGGCGGCAUGCCUAAUACAUGCAAGUCGAACGAACUCUGCUGAUGAUUGAAGCUUGCUUCAUGAAUCAGAUUUGAGUGAGUGGCGGACGGGUGAGUAACACGUGGGUAACCUGCCCAAAAGUGGGGGAUAACAUUUGGAAACAAGUGCUAAUACCGCAUAACAACUACUUUCACAUGAUCGUAGCUUGAAAGAUGGCUCUGCUAUCGCUUUUGGAUGGACCCGCGGCGUAUUAGCUAGUUGGUGAGGUAGUAGCUCACCAAGGCAAUGAUACGUAGCCGACCUGAGAGGGUAAUCGGCCACAUUGGGACUGAGACACGGCCCAAACUCCUACGGGAGGCAGCAGUAGGGAAUCUUCCACAAUGGGCGAAAGCCUGAUGGAGCAAUGCCGCGUGAGUGAAGAAGGUUUUCGGAUCGUAAAACUCUGUUGUUGAAGAAGAACAUGCGUGAGAGUAACUGUUCACGUACUGACGGUAUUCAACCAGAAAGCCACGGCUAACUACGUGCCAGCAGCCGCGGUAAUACGUAGGUGGCAAGCGUUGUCCGGAUUUAUUGGGCGUAAAGAGAAUGUAGGCGGUUUAUUAAGUUUGAAGUGAAAGCCCUCGGCUCAACCGAGGAAGUGCUUCGAAAACUGGUAAACUUGAGUGCAGAAGAGGAAAGUGGAACUCCAUGUGUAGCGGUGGAAUGCGUAGAUAUAUGGAAGAACACCAGUGGCGAAGGCGGCUUUCUGGUCUGUAACUGACGCUGAGAUUCGAAAGCAUGGGUAGCAAACAGGAUUAGAUACCCUGGUAGUCCAUGCCGUAAACGAUGAGUGCUAAGUGUUGGAGGGUUUCCGCCCUUCAGUGCUGCAGCUAACGCAUUAAGCACUCCGCCUGGGGAGUACGACCGCAAGGUUGAAACUCAAAGGAAUUGACGGGGGCCCGCACAAGCGGUGGAGCAUGUGGUUUAAUUCGAAGCAACGCGAAGAACCUUACCAGGUCUUGACAUACCAUGAAAAGCUUAGAGAUAAGUCUUUCCCUUCGGGGACAUGGAUACAGGUGGUGCAUGGUUGUCGUCAGCUCGUGUCGUGAGAUGUUGGGUUAAGUCCCGCAACGAGCGCAACCCUUAUUAUCAGUUGCCAGCAUUCAGUUGGGCACUCUGGUGAGACUGCCGGUGACAAACCGGAGGAAGGUGGGGACGACGUCAAAUCAUCAUGCCCCUUAUGACCUGGGCUACACACGUGCUACAAUGGUCGGUACAACGUGUUGAGGGCAAGCAAAUCACUUAAAACCGAUCUCAGUUCGGAUUGUAGGCUGCAACUCGCCUACAUGAAGCUGGAAUCGCUAGUAAUCGCGGAUCAGCAUGCCGCGGUGAAUACGUUCCCGGGCCUUGUACACACCGCCCGUCACACCAUGAGAGUUUGUAACACCCAAAGCCGGUGGGGUAACCCUUCGGGGAGCUAACCGUCUAAGGUGGGACAAAUGAUUAGGGUG
rnacentral:rRNA from 1 species